AUUACUUGAGCCCAGGAGGGUGAGGCUGCAGUGAGGCAUGAGUGUACUCCAUCCUGGGUAACAGAGCAAGACCCUGUCUCAAAGACAAACGAAUAAUAAUUAAUAAUAAUAUAAAACUUUUAGAAAAUGCAUCCCAAUUGGAAAAACCCAAAUUUUUUACAUUGCUGGUAAUCGGUCGAUCUGACUCUAAAUGAAUCUCACUCUCAGGACCAGGAUUAUGCCAGUUUCCUUUUUCCUGUAUUUUCAGUAGUCUUGUCUCCUGCCCCAUUCGGCUCUCUCAUUUAAGUCUUUGGUAUCAGCUAUGAAUUAGUGCCUACUUAAAUUGUGAGUGGCUUAAAAUGUUACAUUUUUGCAAAUUCAAACUGAGAGCUUUUGGAGCACAAGAAUGCAUUGUUCAUUCAUCUUGACAUCACCCCCACCAC
rnacentral:lncRNA from 1 species